UGACACAGGGAGGUAGUGACAAUAAAUAACAAUGCCGGGUCUACUAAGAUCUGGCAAUUGGAAUGAGAACAAUUUAAAUCCCUUAUCGAGGAUCAAUUGGAGGGCAAGUCUGGUGCCAGCAGCCGCGGUAAUUCCAGCUCCAAUAGCGUAUAUUAAAGUUGUUGCAGUUAAAAAGCUCGUAGUUGAAUUUCUGGUGGGAGCGAUCGGUCCAUCCUUCAUUGGUUGGAACCUGAUUGUCUCCCGCCAUCCAUGGAGAGAACUUAUCUGGCAUUAAGUUGUCGGGUUGGCAAUCUUCAUCUUUUACUGUGAAAAAAUUAGAGUGUUCAAAGCAGGCUUAUGCCGUUGAAUAUAUUAGCAUGGAAUAAUAAGAUAGGACUAUGGUACUAUUUUGUUGGUUUGUGCACCAUGGUAAUGAUUAAUAGGGACAGUUGGGGGUAUUCAUACUUCAGCGUCAGAGGUGAAAUUCUUGGAUCGCUGAAAGAUGAUCUUAGGCGAAAGCAUUUACCAUGGAUGUUUUCAUUAAUCAAGAACGAAAGUUAGGGGAUCGAAGAUGAUUAGAUACCAUCGUAGUCUUAACCAUAAACUAUGCCGACUCGGGAUUGGCAGUCGUUUAAUUAUGACCUUGUCAGCACCGUAUGAGAAAUCAAAGUCUUUGGGUUCCGGGGGGAGUAUGGUCGCAAGGCUGAAACUUAAAGGAAUUGACGGAAGGGCACCACCAGGAGUGGAGCCUG
rnacentral:rRNA from 1 species